rnacentral:rRNA from 1 species
GACGAACGCUGGCGGCGUGCUUAACACAUGCAAGUCGAACGGAAAGGCCCUGCUUUUGUGGGGUGCUCGAGUGGCGAACGGGUGAGUAACACGUGAGUAACCUGCCCUUGACUUUGGGAUAACUUCAGGAAACUGGGGCUAAUACCGGAUAGGAGCUCCUGCUGCAUGGUGGGGGUUGGAAAGUUUCGGCGGUUGGGGAUGGACUCGCGGCUUAUCAGCUUGUUGGUGGGGUAGUGGCUUACCAAGGCUUUGAGGGGUAGCCGGCCUGAGAGGGUGACCGGCCACAUUGGGACUGAGAUACGGCCCAGACUCCUACGGGAGGCAGCGGUGGGGAAUAUUGCACAAUGGGCGGAAGCCUGAUGCAGCAACGCCGCGUGCGGGAUGACGGCCUUCGGGUUGUAAACCGCUUUCGCCUGUGACGAAGCGUGAGUGACGGUAAUGGGUAAAGAAGCACCGGCUAACUACGUG